AUAUUCCUUUUGGCAAUAUUCCUUUUGAAAAUGUUCGUUUUGAAAAUGUUCGUUUUGAAAAUGUCCGUCGUUCAGAUUUUUUUUUUUUUUAUUAUUUUUGAUACUUGUAAAGUAGGUAAAUAUGUAAUAAAAGGAUAACUAUCUUCUACAAAUUUUUUUAUCAUUUUAUUUGAUAAAUUAUAAGGUGACAUUUUUAAAUCAUUUAAUGUUUGUACAUAAAAAAAAUCUAUGAAAAUGAAAUAAAGAAAUAGGUGAUUUUGUUUCAUUGAGUAACUCUUUUUUUAUUUUGUUUAUAUUUACAAAUAUUUUUUUAUCUACUUUGAUUUGAUUUUUGUUGGAAGAAUUAAUAAGAUUGGUUUGAUUAUUAUUGUAAAAUUUUUGUAAUUGUUCAUAUGCAUGUACAGAAUUAAGCACAUUUUUUAUAUUUUUAUUACUACAAUUCAGAUGUAAUAAUGCAGUAUUCGCUUUCUUCACAGUAUGCUCUUUUUUCUUUUUUUUCUUAAGAAUGCAUAUUUUUUUUUUUUAUUUCUUCGAUAACCCGCUCCGGUUCUGCUUUUUUUUGUUCUACUACCGUAUGUUUUGCUACCGUAUCUUCUACUACCGUAUCUUCUACUACCGUAUCUUCUACUACUGUAUCUUCUACUACCAUAUCUUUUACUACUGUAUCUUUUACUACUGUAUCUUCUACUACCGUAUCUUUUACUACCGUAUCUUCUACUACCGUAUCUUUUACUACCGUAUGUUUUGCUACCGUAUGUUUUGCUACCGUAUGUUUUGCAUGAUCAGAAUUAUGAUUUAUGAGUUCUAAAUUGGUAAACGGUGUUUGCAUUUGUUCUAAUUCUACACUAUCGGUUGCAACGUUCGGAAGUUGUAGUGAUUGUGGUUGUGGUUGUGGUUGUGGUUGUGGUUGUGGUUGUGGUUGUGGUGGUUGUAGUGGCGAUGCAUCAAUUUUGUCAUUCAAUGUGUGUUUUUCAUCAAUUUUUCAUUUAAAGUGUGGUUUAAUUUAUCACAUGUAGUUAUAUUUAUGUAAUAA
rnacentral:lncRNA from 1 species